rnacentral:tmRNA from 19 species
GGGGGCGAUUCUGGAUUCGACAGGAUUCACGAAACCCAAGGAGCAUGUCGAGGGGCGGUUGGCCUCGUAAAAAGCCGCACCGUUAUAGUUGCAAACGACUCUAACUACUCUCUAGCAGCUUAGGCUAGCUAGCCAUCUGACCCAGGUUUCUCAAAUGGGCGGGGUAUACAGAUGGUCAUAUAACAUUUGAUAGCGAGGGAACUCCGUCCGGGGGUGAACCGCGAAACAGUACCGGACUCGCCAUGUAGCAUCCUGUCUUUCGGAGACUGCCUGGUUAACUAAAAGAGAGACUAAACAUGUAGCGCCGAGGAUGUAGGCUUUCUGGACGCGGGUUCAAGUCCCGCCGCCUCCACCA